rnacentral:rRNA from 1 species
AGUGAACGCUGGCGGUAGGCCUAACACAUGCAAGUCGAACGGCAGCACAGUAAGAGCUUGCUCUUACGGGUGGCGAGUGGCGGACGGGUGAGGAAUACAUCGGAAUCUACUUUUUCGUGGGGGAUAACGUAGGGAAACUUACGCUAAUACCGCAUACGACCUACGGGUGAAAGCAGGGGAUCUUCGGACCUUGCGCGAUUGAAUGAGCCGAUGUCGGAUUAGCUAGUUGGCGGGGUAAAGGCCCACCAAGGCGACGAUCCGUAGCUGGUCUGAGAGGAUGAUCAGCCACACUGGAACUGGGACACGGUCCAGACUCCUACGGGAGGCAGCAGUGGGGAAUAUUGGACAAUGGGCGCAAGCCUGAUCCAGCCAUACCGCGUGGGUGAAGAAGGCCUUCGGGUUGUAAAGCCCUUUUGUUGGGAAAGAAAAGCAGCAGGUUAAUACCCCGCUGUUCUGACGGUACCCAAAGAAUGAGCACCGGCUAACUUCGUA